rnacentral:rRNA from 1 species
CCUACGGGUGGCAGCAGUGGGGAAUAUUGCGCAAUGGGCGAAAGCCUGACGCAGCGACGCCGCGUGAGGGAUGAAGGUCUUCGGAUCGUAAACCUCUGUCAGCAGGGAAGCACGGUCACUGUGCUAAUCAGCAGUGAAUUGACGGUACCUGCAAAGGAAGCACCGGCUAACUCCGUGCCAGCAGCCGCGGUAAGACGGAGGGGGCGAGCGUUAAUCGGAUUGACUGGGCGUAAAGCGCUCGUAGGCGGUAUGUCAAGUCAAGGGUGAAAUCCCCGCGCUAAACGUGGGAACAGCCUUUGAAACUGGCAAACUUGAGUGUGUGAGAGGAGAGUGGAAUUCCAGGUGGAGGAGUGAAAUCCGUAGAUAUCUGGAGGAACAUCGGUGGCGAAGGCGACUAUCUGGCACAUAACUGACGCUGAGGAGCGAAAGCGUGGGUAGCAAACAGGAGUAGAUACCCGUGUAGUC